AGCGAACGCUGGCGGCAGGCUUAACACAUGCAAGUCGAACGCACUCUUCGGAGUGAGUGGCAGACGGGUGAGUAACACGUGGGAACGCGCCCUUCAGUUCGGAAUAACUCUGGGAAACUAGAGCUAAUACCGGAUACGCCCUUCGGGGGAAAGAUUUAUCGCUGAAGGAUCGGCCCGCGUCUGAUUAGCUAGUUGGUGGGGUAAUGGCCUACCAAGGCGACGAUCAGUAGCUGGUCUGAGAGGAUGAUCAGCCACACUGGGACUGAGACACGGCCCAGACUCCUACGGGAGGCAGCAGUGGGGAAUAUUGGACAAUGGGCGAAAGCCUGAUCCAGCUAUGCCGCGUGAGUGAUGAAGGCCCUAGGGUUGUAAAGCUCUUUCACCGGUGAAGAUAAUGACGGUAACCGGAGAAGAAGCCCCGGCUAACUUCGUGCCAGCCGCCGCAGUAAUAC
rnacentral:rRNA from 1 species